GCAAACUUGGUCAUUUAGAGGAAGUAAAAGUCGUAACAAGGUUUCCGUAGGUGAACCUGCGGAAGGAUCAUUAUUGAAUAAACCUGUGUGGGUUGUUGCUGACCUCUUUGGAGGUAUGUGCACACUUGCCAUUGUUUCAUUCAUACCUUCCACCUGUGCACAUUUUGUAGACUCCAUGCUGUCACUUCAGGUGCUUUCAGGCUCCUGGCAUGAGGACCUGCCCAUGGGCUGUCCUUGGAUGGUGUGUGGCCUAUGUCUUUACCAACUCUGAAUGUCAUAGAAUGUUUGUAUUGGGUCCUCUUAGCAGACCUAUAAAAAUCUAUACAACUUUCAACAACGGAUCUCUUGGCUCUCGCAUCGAUGAAGAACGCAGC
rnacentral:misc_RNA from 1 species